rnacentral:rRNA from 1 species
CAGUCGCCACGGUAAUACGAAGGGGGCUAGCGUUGUUCGGAAUUACUGGGCGUAAAGCGCACGUAGGCGGAUAUUUAAGUCAGGGGUGAAAUCCCAGAGCUCAACUCUGGAACUGCCUUUGAUACUGGGUAUCUUGAGUAUGAAAGAGGUGAGUGGAAUUCCGAGUGUAGAGGUGAAAUUCGUAGAUAUUCGGAGGAACACCAGUGGCGAAGGCGGCUCACUGGUCCAUUACUGACGCUGAGGUGCGAAAGCGUGGGGAGCAAACAGGAUUAGAUACCCCGUAGUCCCUGUCUCUUAUACA